CUAAAACAAUGUCUCUUGAAUAUUUAUGUGAAUAUUUAACUGAUGAAAAACUCACGUGACGAGCUGAUCCAAACGGUAUUGACAAUUUGUUUGGAUUAAACCAUUCUGAGGUAAUCCAGAGUUCGUGAAAUUUCACUAAAACAUUUUUUUCAGCAACAACGUGAAUUUUGUACUCCCAUCCUGUUUUCUUUUUUUGCGAAUCGAAAUUUUCAUAAUGGAGAUGUCUAACGGAGCGACGAUGAAUUUAUCAUUUGGAAAAGCGAACAGAGACAUGUCAUGGAAGAAAAUUAUUAAACACUCUGCCAGAGAACGAUGAAUUCCUGAAUGAUGAAAUUCAUGUAAACACAGAUAAAAGGUAAUUCUCCCACGGCUGGUGACGAGUGGAUGAAAAUUCUAGUCUACCGUAAUUCCAACAAUGAUAAACCAAAGGACUUGGAGCAAGAAAAAAGAGAAGGAACAAAAACCAAGGGGGCUAAAAAUGUUCAACUUUAUCUUUGCUUUAGCGUGGGCCAGCAGGCUAUAUAAAUGUAUAGAUAUCAAAGCAGCACGUAUGCGAAGCUCAUCACGUUUUGCGGGCAAACGAGACGGAAAAAAGGCAGAGAGUCAGAAAACAAAAAAAAUAAAAACAACAUCGCCAAGGGAAAGAAAGAGAGAAAAAAAUUAUCUUCCUCUCUCGUUAGCCUCCUGGCGCGAAAGUUUUUCCAGCUUCCGUUCCUCCAGAGAUGUGAGCAAUCUACUUUUGCUCGGGGAAAGCAACUUCGUGUGACAACGGAGAAAGGAGCGUGGUGAUUAUCUUCCAACAAUGGUUAAUAUUGUACCGAAAUCAUUCCAAAGGUAAACCAAUGCAUGGUAAAAAAAUGGUGAAAUUUUAUUUUUUUUCUCCAUCAUCACGAGUGUCUCCAGAAUCCGGAUCGAAGCCAUGAAUGUCAAU